rnacentral:lncRNA from 1 species
UUAUUUCUUUGGGUUGAAAACAUACAAACACUAAGCAUAAAAGCACAUGUGGUGGUACCUGGGUAUCUAGUUCUUACGGAAUAAUCUCAAGUUGGAGUUUGGCGUGAAGGGAAAUACUGGCUUAAAGUGGGAUAGGUAUCUUUUAAGCAGAACCUUGCAUCUUUUUAAAAUUUCUUGAGCAACCAUACAUAUUUGUGAAGAUUUAUAUUGAACAUUCUACUCUGCUUAAGAUCUUUGGUUCCUUCAGAGCUUCUCCUUAGAGUAUCUACCUGCAUCCUUAAUACCACGUGAUGAUUCAUGGAGCCUUGUACUGCUCUUCUGAGUCUAACAAAUACUGUGACUGAAAUGCAUGCAACUUGAAGAGAAAACGUUUUCUUAUUCUCCACUGUGUCUGUGAACUGUGUAGUAUUCCAUUCUUUGACAGCCAUCAGUAUGUGCAUGUGUCCUCAGUAAUGACGCAGCCUUUCAGUAACCCUGUGACUGCCGCAUCAUAGUGGCAACUUUGUAUUUAUUAGCGAGUUAAAUGUGCACCUUGGUAGUGCAGUAUAUAGUCUUCUAAGAACAGAAGAACAUUAAUUGUAUCAUCAUGAGGCAGUCUAGUUUGUUAGAGUUGGUUCAUUUUCACUCAGCUAUGUUAGCCAUUUUUUUCUUUGUAAUAAAAAGUCUCCUUUUUAAAAAGAGUCCUCAAGUUAAUUUCAAAUCCCUUCUUGGAUGCAAAGUGUGCAUUAGGCCAUUCAUUGAACAAAUGACUAUUCGUUGAACAAAAUUAGCUAAGCAUGCUUACUAAUGCUGCUCCGUAUGACUGUAAUGCACAUGCCCAAAUCUCCCAGGACUUUUUAGACCAGCCUAACUGUCCCUAAAACUUCCCAUGGCUUAUUGAUCGCUGUUUGAUCAUCCCGUCCUUAUUUCAAAUGAGAAUCUAAGAAAAGCAACAUUAGAAACCCAUUCAGUAUCUGUGGCAAGUGCUGCCUUCAACAAGGUGAUGGCCCCUUUCAGUCUGCCUGAGCCAACAAGGGAAGGAGAGCUCAGAUCUGAAGUGAAUUAUAUUUCUCCCACAGGGAGCCAUUGUCUAUCCCACUGUUCUAAGAGACCACAUAACCCUGCAGUCAUUUUAUAUGCAUCAUGGAUAGAGGAUAUUUUUAUUCUCCAAUACAACAUCUUGGCAAAAAUAUUUUCUGCAGCAGUAACAUUUCAAAAAUUCUAAUUGGAUGCUCUGAGAAGAUGAGAAAGCUGUAUCCUUGUGUGAGCCAUUAUCUGGCUGGCAGGUUUAUCCUUAGUCAUAAAUGUCCUCCUUCUGGGAUAAGAAGUGGCAGAAGACAAAUGCACCAUUAAGAACUGCAUCUGAAUUCGAAAUUACAAGGCAGCCAGUGCAGCAAAACUUGCUUAGCUAUGCUCCCAGAUAUGGGGCAUUUCUUCCAGAAAUCCAAGUGUCAGCUAAUGUUUUCUUAUGCUUGGCUCACAAAGGGAGUUCCUCUUGGUGGCUCAUUACCAAUAUAAUAGAAAUGCUUUUUCACAGCUAAGCUCUUUGAAAAACAGGGACAGAAAAGUAGUGUUUCUUAAUUUAUUAAGACAAGAUAUUUACUCUUUUACUCCUUCAAAUGUGUUUGAAGACUACAAAUGACAAAUAUUGAAAAUCUGCCUAAUUUAUUUUAUUUUUUUUUUUUUGCUUAAAUAAAGCUGUUGGGCAUCAAAUUGUGAGUUUAGUAUGCCACUAUUCUCUAACUCGAUGUUUUAGUGGAUCUGAGUUGAACCAAGAAUACCAAAUAAACACAACCAGCAGAACAGUCUACUAAAGGACUACUAAGGCUGAAGGCAAUGCUACGAUUUCAAAUUCUUCCUUAAUGCAAACCAAAAGUGGUAUUUAUCAUAAUGAUAAUUUAAGUUUUGCUCACAUUAUUUCACUGUCUUAAUGGCUUAAAUUAGGGAUAUUUGAUAGUUCUGGAAAAUAAAUGGGGAUGUUGUCCCAGUUAGAGUACAUACAGAAGAAAACCCUUCCUAUCCUCUCUGCCUUUUCAAACCAAGGCAACCAUUUAUUCCUGGUUGUCUGCUGCUGGGUGGUUUUGCAUGCUCUUCCCAUCUCUGCUGUAUGCCUCUUGUACAGGUGCAGGUUCUGUGUAUUCCGUGUUAAUCUUUACCAGUAAAUACACCUCACAAGGUUACUUUCAGUUUGGCUGAAGGAGAACUGUGCAGUAAAAUGCGAAGGAAAGCAAUGACUUUAUUCAAUGGUUUUUUUUUUCAUUUGAAACACUAUUAACUUUUAAAAUAAUUUCAUAGUCCCUUAUACAUAAGCCAAUGAAAUAUUCUGAGUUCUAGUUAGAAAAAAAAAAGCAUGAAUUCUACAUGAUAAAUCUAAACAACAAAAACACUUGUAAGUUCUUUUAUAUGUUUCAUGCCUUAUUUUCCAUUUUUGACACCAUAAAGUGCAUUUUCUGUCAACUGUGAGCAAAUUUCCCUUUGCCUUUAAUAAACAUAGUGCAUUAAGUAGCCAGUUGCUGAAAAGUUACAAAGCAAGUUAGCUAAAGGUGGGUCAUACUGGACUACAUUCAAAGAACCAAGAUACACAAAAGAUGCAAGUUGUAUGUGUGUGGCUUAGAGUGCACCUGUGCAGAUGCAUGCCGCCUUCAGUAGCUGCCAAAUGUGCCUUUAAUUAAAAACAUCUCUAAUUUUUUUUUUCUUCAAAUCAAGUCAGCAUUUGGGGACGUGAUUAGGGCAAGGGACUUGGGGGUACAAAUAUCUGGUGAAAUCACCAGAGAAUUUGUUUGUCAAAGUGACAUGUGUAAUUUUAGUUGAGAUAUGUCUGUGUAUAUAUGCGUAUUUGCCUUUGUUUAGGAGCACGGUUAUUUGCUGAAAUAAUUGUUAAAAAAUGCUGUCAGUCUUACUUUGAUGUAAAGAACAAAGUGUGGUCUGUACAUCUAAUAAUGACCUUUGUACCUAACCAUGUUUGUUGGUGAUCUUUGUAUUCUGUGUGCAGCAAUAUUUGGUUUGUGUUAAAGUGAAAAUAAUGGCUGUUAUUUUUCUGGCAUUACUAAGAUAAAUUGAAAAAUAAUAAAGAAAAAUACCUU